CAUGUAUGCAGGCGGUCGGCCAGCAUUCUGCAGUACGAGCUGACUUAAAGUGAAACCGCAAAAGGCUCAGUAAACCGGUCAUAGUUUACCGGAUAUAUGCCACUCACGUGGAUAACUGUGGUAAUUCUAGAGCUAAUACAUGCAACCAAGUCCCGACCAGCGAUGGAAAGGACGCUUUUAUUGGAUCAAAACCAUUCGCCCGGUUCGCCCGGGCGUCUGCUUGAUGACUCUAGAUAACACCACAGAUCGCACGGUCACAGUACCGGCGACGUAUCCGUCAAAUGUCUGACUUAUCAGCUGUCGAUGGUAGACUCUGUGUCUACCAUGGCGCUCACGGGUAACGGGGAAUCAGGGUUCGAUUCCGGAGAGGGAGCCUGAGAAACGGCUACCACAUCCAAGGAAGGCAGCAGGCACGCAAAUUACCCACUCCCGGCACGGGGAGGUAGUGACAAAAAAUAACGAUACGGGACUCAUCCGAGGCCCCGUAAUCGGAAUGAGAACACCCUAAAUCCUUUAACGAGGAUCUAUUGGAGGGCAAGUCUGGUGCCAGCAGCCGCGGUAAUUCCAGCUCCAAUAGCGUAUAUUAAAGUUGUUGCGGUUAAAAAGCUCGUAGUUGGUUCUGCGUGCCACGCUGUCGGUUCACCGCCUGUCGGUGCAACUGGCAUGCCGUGGCAUGUCCUGUCGGUGGCUGACGGGCUUCGCGGGGCGCCCCACUCGCUCAGGCUUGUUGGAUGACUCGACCGUGUUGACCCUCGCUGGACGGGUUCAAUCCUACCGCCGUGGCUCUUUAAUCUAGGGGUCCUAGGAAAGUCCCUACCCCUGUUUUACUUUGUAACCAAAUUAAAAGGGGUUUCAAGCAAGGGUUCUGAAAAGCAAGCCUGAAAUAGUGAUGGCCAUGGGAAAGAACGUGAACAGGGACCAUUGGUGUCUUAUUUUGGUUGGUUUUUUUGGCAAGCCCCGGGGGUAUGGAUUAAAUAAAGGGGACGGGGGGGGGGGGGCUUUCCGUUAAUGGGGUAGGCUUGAGGAAGGGUUGAAUUUUGUUGGGAACUGGGGCCUUAAGAAAGGCCGCCAAGAAAGGUAAAAAUGAAUUUCGGCCCUUGGAAUGGGGCCUUGAAAUUUGGUUUCCCGGGGAAAGGGAAACGGGGGUAAAGGGGGUUUCCAAAGGGGGGGGAAUAAAAAAUUUCCGGGCCCCUUAAGGCUUCUUUAUGCCUGUUAAAACCAAGUUAGGGCCCGGGUUCCCCGGGAAAAUUGCCCCCCCAAAAUUUUGGGCCCUCCCCCCAAAGAGAAACCUCGCGGGGGCGGGGGGGAGAGAAUUAUUGGGCCCCCGGGGGGGGGGAAACCCCGUGAAAAAACUGCCCCCGGGGGGUUUUUUUUCCCCGGGGGGGGGAGGGAAAAAUUGGGGGGUGGGGGACCAGGGAAAAUUUUUUGGGACACCACCCCGGAUUAAAAAACCGGGGCACAAAAAAGGGGC
rnacentral:rRNA from 1 species